UUUAUUUAUAUCUGAAGAUGGCCCAAAAGCCAGGGGAACAUGUUUCUUUAAUAGUAUGGAGUAACACAGUACAGAAGCAUGGAGUUAUUUAUAUCUUUUGGAACAACGACCAAUUUAUCGAGGUACACAGACUUCAUUUGACAUGCCUCGGUUGUGUCGUCAAAGCGAGAUUUCUUGGCGGGCAUUCAGCUCCGUACGAUGCUGCGCGUUCAACCGCAGCGGCAGGUAUGGUUGGCAGCGGAUUUUGCCAAUCGUAUUUGAAGAAUGCAGACUAUGAGACGGACCCCUCAGUUUGAGUACAAAGAACCUCCGCCUACAGCAGUCCGCAGUGCUUUCCUUGAAUCUAUCUUUCAAGACUGUUGCAUCUGGACGUGACGAGGUGUAACAUUAAAUUGUCACGGCAGUGUGCACCAAUGCAGUUCACGACUUCCUUGGACAAGAUAUGGAACCAAAUGUUGGAAAUACAAGGCAGGGAUCAGGGUGAUGACUUCAUGGAAGUGGAAGGAACAGGAGAGGAAGACAUCUGGCAAUGGUCAUGACAGUUGUCCGUCAGGUACGGGACCAAUUU